UGUUAAAUACGUGAUUAAGAACCGUUAAGAUCUGUUCCAAGUGGAAACGAGGAAAUAAAAAUGGCUAGAACUCAAGUAAGUCAUGGACACGGAGAGAGGAAGACUAUUGAACAGUGACACAGCUUGAAAACACAGUGGUUUGGCUAAAGCUACCAUGAGGUAGCCCAGAGAGAAAACACACUGAAAUAUGAAAUGAAAUAUGCUUCUGUACAAUAUACACAGAAAAAAAAGUAAUUCGUUGUCUGGAAAAGGAAUAACCCCAAUUUUGUUUGUUUCCAAUGGAACCAACCAGCUGUGAAAUCAGCAUUGAAAAUAUGAUGAAAUAGAGGCUCCCAGAACAAAGAGAACCAGUACAGUUUCUUGGGCUGUAUA